UCCGGUUGAUCCUGCCGGACCUGACUGCUAUCGGAUUGAUACUAAGCCAUGUGAGUCAUUGUAGCAAUACAAGGCAGACGGCUCAGUAACACGUAGCCAACCUACCCCUAUGGACGGGGAUAACCUCGGGAAACUGAGGAUAAACCCCGAUAGAUCAUUAUACCUGGAACGGUUUAUGGUCCAAAUGAUUCGUCGCCGUAGGAUGGGACUGCGGCCUAUCAGCUUGUUGGUGAGGUAAUGGCCCACCAAGGCUAUUACAGGUACGGGCUCUGAGAGGAGAAGCCCGGAGAUGGGUACUGAGACACGGACCCAGGCCCUAUGGGGCGCAGCAGGCGAGAAAACUUUGCAAUGUGCGCAAGCASGACAAGGUUAAUCCGAGUGUUUCCUGCUAAAGGAAUCUUUUGCUAGUCCUAAAAACACUAGCGAAUAAGGGGUGGGCAAGUUCUGGUGUCAGCCGCCGCGGUAAAACCAGCACCUCAAGUGGUCAGGAGGAUUAUUGGGCCUAAAGCAUCCGUAGCCUGCUCUGUAAGUUUCCGGUUAAAUCCAUUAGCUUAACUGAUGGGCCGCCGGAAAAACUGCAAAGCUAGGGAGUGGGAGAGGUAGACGGUACUCGGUAGGAAGGGGUAAAAUCCUUUGAUCUAUUGAUGACCACCUGUGGCGAAGGCGGUCUACCAGAACACGUUCGACGGUGAGGGAUGAAAGCUGGGGGAGCAAACCGGAUUAGAUACCCGGGUAGUCCCAGCUGUAAACGAUGCAGACUCGGUGAUGCCCUGGCUUGUGGCCAGUGCAGUGCCGCAGGGAAGCCGUUAAGUUUGCCGCCUGGGAAGUACGUACGCAAGUAUGAAACUUAAAGGAAUUGGCGGGGGAGCAC
rnacentral:rRNA from 1 species